ACAACAUUCGGACCGUCGGUCUACCGAGCAAUAUCAGCCGCUCGGUGGAAGAUCUUCCAUUUGUCGU
rnacentral:pre_miRNA from 1 species